CGUUGAUUAACCAUAACAAUUAUAUACUGAGUGGGGCGUUCUCGCAUGAAUGGUCCGAUCUUGUUUAUUCGAUAUUCAAAAGGGCGCCAAAUUUUCGUUUCAUCGUAGUAUCGUUUAAUUGGUAUGAGUUGUGUUGAGAAGUGAAGGAACUAUGUCCGCGCGCAGUAACUGAAUAGUAGAAAUUGCGACAGAUAAUGGCCGUGAAAAGCCCAGAAAGUUUCAAGAAUAAUCUUAUAUUUGAUACUUAUAUUUCAAGGAUUUUCAACUGACGUGAUCACUCAAAGAAAUAAAACGCCAUAUAUGGUCAGGAGAGGAGAAGCAGUUAGUACUAAUACACUUCAAGAAUCAUGUGAGGAAUAAUAAUCCUUCCAGAAGACAUGAAUGUAUGGUAUUCAUUUCCAAGCAUUCACCAAGUUUCCAGAAUGAUGACCGAGUUUGAAUUAAAAUCCUGGUAUAUAAAGAAUACCAAAAAAUAGAGUGUAAUUGAAAAUAUUUGAUUGAGUCUGAAAAAAAUUCAUUAUAUUUUUGUUUUGUUAUUUUUAAACCUUAUUUGUAGACUUGCAAUUAUGUGAUAUUUUGAGUUUUCAUUAAAUUUAUAUUUUCAA